CACCACACCCAGCUAAUUUUUGUACUUUUAGUAGAGAUAGCAUUUCACCAUGUUGGACAGGAUGGUCUCUAUCUCUUGACCUCGUGGUCCACCCACCUCGGCCUCCCAAAGUGCUGGUAUUACAGGCAUGAGCCACUGCACCCAGCCUUGAAAAAAUUUUUAUAAGUCAAUGCAUUUCAAGGAUUAUUAAAGGGUAAAUAAAUUACAUGAGAUUUUUUUUUAUAUUGGUGCUAGUUUGUGUUACAGGAGCAUUAGAGGUAUUGUAAAGUAAAAAAGAGAGGAUGAAGCCAGGAAGAUGCUAUAAGCAGGAAAGGAAGAGACAGCAAAGGAGGCACAAGCUCAACAAGAAAAUGCUUAUGGCUUAGCACAAGGUCUUCUGGAAUAGGAGAUACAGGAGGUGGCAGCAACAGUAGAUCAAUGGGAAGGAAAGAUGUGUUUGGUGACAGCAUUUUGGUGGGAGGGAACAGGAAAUAGGGAAAAGAUUAAGGGCAGAGAGAAACCAGAUGGUGAUCAUAAUGAGCCAAAACCCAAAAAUGUUAUGGACUCAAACCUUAGCUAUAGAGACCUAAAGAAAUGAAAAAAUAACAAAAAUAGAAAAAAAAUGUAUUUUCAUAAUUCAGUGUAUUUGUAUCAUAUCAAAAAUUAUUUGAGAUGAAUUAUUAAAAAAUCUUUAUUAUAAGAUUAAUAAAACACAAUCAAAAGAGGAAAAGGCAGCAUAUGCCAACCAUAAGCAUCAACAGAGUGACUGUGUUUGAGCAGAUACCCUAGAACUUCCUCCUAGCCCUGAUGAAGAGGGAAACUUUAUAAGUCAUAAAGCAUUCAUCAAAUAUCAUUACCUGAAAUUAGGGUACCCACUAAAUAUUUGUCAGAAUAAAUUUUACUGGUGAGAAACAGCUCCUGUGUGAUAAUAGAAGGAAUAUGAUUUAAUAAAUCAUAACCUCUCUUUGUUUCACAGCAAAUAGAUAAAUUUGCAUGGCCAAUUUUGAAAGCAACCUAAGAUAAAAACUCAUGGAUAACAAUGCAAAAGCAUGACAAAAAUGUCACUGUCUAAAUGUGUAGUCUUCUUGUAGUCUGACUUGAUCCAAGGACAUUGAUUCAUAUUGAUACAGAAGCAGGAGGCAGGAGACAGGGAAGUGCUAAGUAGAGAAAAGCUGGGUCCCUGAUGAGGGUUCCUUGGGGCCUGUGCCAUGGAUCUAAGUGAGGACAAUCAUUUCUGUUUCCGUUCCCAUAAAGUUGCCUUUUGGCCUGCCACACCCACCCAUCCUGUGCCCAUAAAAACCUGAGAGACCGUAGCAGGCACAAGUGGCAGGACGUCAAGAGGAGCAGAAGAGCACACCCAGAGACACCAGCAGACACAGGCAGGCCAUCAACGGCGGGACAAUGCGGAAUUCAGUCGGGGUGGUAGGAGGAGAGUCUGCCCACCGGGUGGCCCGACUCCAGGGGAAGACCACCUUCCCAACCCGUCCUCCUGGCUCCCCAUCCACCUCGCUGAGAGCAACCUCCACCACUCAAUAAAACUUUGCACCCAUCCCCAAGCCCACAUGUGAUCCGAUUCUUCCGGUACAGUAGGGCAAGAACUGGGGAUACAGAAAUCCCUUUGUCCUUGCGAUAAGGCAGAGGGUCUAACUGAGCGGACUAACACAAGCCGCCUGUAGACCGCAAAACUGAAAGAGUACACUGUAAGACACGUCCCCUGGGCUUCCCGAGCAGGAAACACUCAACCCUAGGUGCUACCAUGGGGUUGGAGCCCAACAUCGCUCCCCAUGAGCUGCCCGUCUGCAUGCUUCCCCUAGGGCUUUGAGCAGAGGGACAGUGAGCCACACUCAUGUCACACACCCUGCGAGGGAGUUAAGGGAAGAGCAUACAGGCCACCAGGGAAGUGGGGGAAAGCCAGCAGCCAAAAGCCUCACCCCACUCCCACAUGACCCGCAGCCCUAACGGCUGAUCUCACUCCCACUGUGCCCCCCACAACAGCGCCGAGCCUGUUUCCACGCAGCUGGUGACCAGGGCUGAGAACCUGCCCUACAUCAUGGGUCUCCCCAUUGGGAAAGCAAGCCGAUGCACAGUUUUUCGGCAUCUCAGGAAGCCUGCAGGGGUGAUCUAGCUCCUUGGAAGGGCCUGUGGAGUCUCUUGGCUUUCCCGCUUGGACCUCAGUUUAUUCAUUCCUGAACUGGGCAUAAAAAUAUUUGAUCUUGGGACAUGGAAUGAGCAGUAACUGGAAGCGGGACACAAGGGAUCUUCUAGAAUUCUGAAAAGUGGACAAUCUGACGUUGGUCGCUUUUUUUCUGAGCCCCUGGGAACUUGGACAAUGAAUCACUUCAAUUUCAAAAUCCUCUAUAUUUGGCUCUUGGUUUUUCAUCUUUCCCAUUCCAUUUAGAGAUAGUACAUGGGCGCUGCUUUUCUGGGAAUUAACACUUAAGACCUAUUACAUGCUUAAAAAAUUAGUCACUAAUGUGUGUUUUCAUGACAUCUUGCUUUCAAAUGUCAUUAUUUCUCAUUUCUUAGAGGUCACUGUACUAAAAAAUACAAAGUCCUAAAUGGCAAGAAUUCACUGUAAAAGAUAGCUUGUCACGUUAUUCUUGAAGCAGAUAUACAUUUCUAUUUUACCUCACCAAGUUUAUAGACUCAACAAAGAAAUGAAGAGGCAUUGAACAGAAAUGCCCUUAAGUCACCGCAGAAAGGUAAUUACCUCUCUUUUUUUAAAAAAAUAUCCAGAAGUCUACCCAGGCCUAUGCUGGUAAUGGACUGGGUUACCGCCAACCCUCAAGCUGACAUAAAACCCUUCAGCUCUCUCGCUGUCACAUUUUUCUUUCCCCUGGAAAAAUCACCUUCUCUUCUCUUUGCCAAACAAUAUCCCUUCUGUAAUUUUAAGUCCAUUCUUCUCAAUCCUCUCCUUUCAAAAUAAGACUGACCCAUAAAAAAACAAUCAUCUGUUUCUCGAUGUGGUUGAAGAUUUCUUCUUUUGGAGAGAAAGAAAGAAACCCUGAGAUGUGACAUCCUGUUUCCUCCAGACCCUUUUCCUAAAAUCAGAAACAAAGGCCUCUAUGUUCCUAUAUCAGAAUUUGCAAAUCCAGUCUAAGGGGAAUGUAUGGCUUACUGCAUAAGGAUUCCUGCCCUCCUUCAGAUCAGCUGAUCUCUAGUUAAAUAAUGGCAGCCACCAGAACCAUGCACUCUGUGCCCCAUUGCCUGGUCUGUCCAGGUAGGUCACUGUGUCAAGCACUGGGAACACAUAGGCCCAGGGGACUAUUGUCAACAAAACCAUCUUGUUCACCUUGCACUUAGUGCUUUUACGCUUAUAAGGACCUUUAGCAAACGUGUAAUUUUUACAAAUCUCUGAGGAUAACCUGAUAGGGAAAUAGAUUUACUCCCCCAUUUCAUAGAGACUAUGGGACUAUAAUAAUAAUAAUACCACUUUUGCAUUUUAGGAAAGGAAGAACUAGAAUCCAAUUUUCCUUUCUUCAAGUCUUCACAACCUCUACCUGUAAGCCUCUAGUCUUAAUCCUGAAAUAUCCCUGUUAUAUGGUUUGCCUACCCCUCACCAAACCUCUGGUGAAAUUAAUCCCCAGUGUUGGAGGUGGGACCUAGUGGAGGGUAUUUGGGUCAUAGGGGCAGAUCAUUCAUGAAAAGAUUAAUGCCCUCCCUCAUGGGUGAGUGUUUAGUUCCUGAGAUAAACAUUUAUUUUAAAAAGUGAGGCACCUCCUUCCCCACUCUCUUGCUUCCUCUCUCACCACGUGAUCUCUGCAUGCACCUGUUCUCCUUUGCCUUCUGGCAUGAGUGGAAGCAGCCCGAGGCCCUCACCAGAUGCAGUUGCCCAGUCAGGAUCUCUCCAGCCCCAACAACGUGUGCCAAAUCAAUCUUCUUUCUUUAUAACUACCCAGUGUCAAGUAUUCCUUUAGAGCAACGCAAAACAGACUAAGACAAUACCAUAAUAACUCUACUUGUUUUAUUCUCUCCUCUCUUAUAAUCUUUCACUGCAGAUAUGUUAUAGUACCAGAGCACAAAUGCCAGUUGAUUUUAAGCUCAGAACCCAAAUAAGCUCUUUUUUAAAUGCUAUUCUCAUGUGCUCAGUUAAUUGUACUAAAUUUCCUUCUUUAAGAAGUUUGAACUUAGUGAUAAUCCUUGUGGCAGUUUUCAUUCUAUUGUGGUCGAUAGUAGGCAAAGUCAAAAAUGCAUAGUUUCAGGAAAAUCAUCAAUCAACUGGGCAAAUAUGAAACUGUCCAGUGAGGAAUAGAGCCUGCCAUUACAAGUAAAGCAGUAUUAUAAAAUAUCAGCCGGGCGCAGUGGCUCAAGCCUGUAAUCCCAGCACUUUGGGAGGCCGAGGCGGGUGGAUCACGAGGUCAAGAGAUCGAGACCAUCCUGGUCAACAUGGUGAAACCCCGUCUCUACUAAAAAUACAAAAAAUUAGCUGGGCAUGGUGGUGCAUGCCUGUAAUCCCAGCUAUUCAGGAGGCUGAGGCAGGAGAAUUGCCUGAAUCCAGGAGGCAGAGGUUGCGGUGAGCCGAGAUGGCACCAUUGCACUCCAGCCUGGGUAACAAGAGCCAAGUUCCAUCUAAAAUAAAAUAAAAUAAAUAAAAUAAAAUACCAUGGAGUGAAUCUCUUAGUCUCCAACUGGCUAAGUCCCACAUAUCAUCUUUAUCCUAAGCCAAUAGAAAAGCAGGUUUUCAACAUGAUCACUUAUUUCUCACCAUUGCUGUGAGUGACUCUAAGAACAGCAUUAACAAGGAACCUUGUCCCAGGAUAGCUGUCACCCACAUAAUCCCCAGGAUGGUUAGUAAGUGUCUCUGUCUGCCUUGGCAUUUUUUCCUUGCCAAUGCACUAUCAACAAAACGAAUGUACUUCAGGAUGAGCAGUCUCAUCAAAGUUUGUGGAGUCAUGGUGUCUGAUUUUUAGAAUAAAUGAUAUUUAUACCAACAAUAAAAAAGGGUUUGUUGUUUGUAUAGUAUAUGCAGGGCUCUGGGCUUGGCCUGAAUGAUACAAGAUGGCACCAGACACAUAUUUUUACCUGAAGGAACUGACAAUAUAACUGCAGGUGCAAGACUUGGAUCUAAAAAUUGAAAGUGCCAUUGCAAUUUAGUACAUUCAUGUGUCACUUAACGAUGGAAAUAUGUCUUGAGAAACACUUCAUUAGGCAAUUUCAUCCUUGUGAGAACAUCAUGAUCUACUUACACAAACCUAGAUGGUAUAGCCUGCUCCAUACCUAGGCUAUGUGGAGUAGUCUAUUGCUUGCAGGCUACAAACCUGCACAGCAUGUGACUGUACUGGAUGCUGUAGGCAAUUGUAACAUAUUAGUAUUUGUGUAUCUGAACAUAGAAAUACUAAUAUGUUACUAAUUGUAACAUAUUAGUAUUUGUGUAUCUGAACAAAGAUACAAUAUUAUAGUUGUAUUUGUUUAUAAUUUUAUACAGUAUUGUAAUUUAUAAUACUAUCACAUGAGAGGUCCAUCAUUGAUGGAAACAUCAUUAUGUAAUGCAUAACUGUACCUUAAAUCCAGAAUAAGUGAUGUGGCAUAUAAGCAUAUGGGAGCUCAUAGGCUGGAACGGUUUGGAGAGUUAAAGCAGGUGGGAGAGCCCAUUAACUCUGGGUCUCACACAGAAUUUACUGGCUACAUUUACUCCUCAUUCAGUCCUCAACAUUAUCAUAUGAGACAACAUACUAUUAUGGCCUGUGUUCCUCUUCUGUUUUGCAGGUGAAAAAAUGGAGGCUUGGAGGUAAGUAACUUGCCUAGAUCACACACCUGGUGUUCAGACAGUCUGACGCUGGAAUGCUAGCUCUUAACCAUGUUGUAGAUAGAUGAGGAAACCCUUCUAUCUGAAUGUGAAGAUGAUUGGGAAAGGGACCCAUACAAAAGCUCUGGGAGAAAGAUCAGUGUAGCCAAUAAACUCUGCUAACUGGAGUUUAUGAUGAAACACUGCAGAGGCCAUCCAGGAUUGUGGCUGGCUUUGCCAGUUCACACCCAGUUGGCAAGGAUGACUAAAGACACACAGCACGAGGAAAGGAACAUGGACAAGUCGAGCAGACAGCAUCCUCCAGUACACCAGAGUUUAUGGAGAGACCUCUGAAUAACAGCCGCAUCCUCCAGUACACCAGAGUUUAUGGAGAGAACUCUGAAUAACAGCCUGGCAAGACAAAUAUCUUAAUAUAUACUGAUACACCAGGGUACCAAAAUUGUGACUCCCAUACAGGGUACAGAUCAUGAGGUAACUGACUUAAUGAGAGCAGGACAGGGAGGCCUGGGGAACCCAUCCCCAGAGUACAGGAGGCACUGUGGGGAGGGUCAGUGGCAGCUGCCAGAAGGAAGGUUAGCCACAAGAAGAAUUAAUAGGCAGAAGUUAUGGCAUAACCUUUUUAACAUUAAGUUAAACAAGGUACACCAAACUGCCACCUGGUAGGAAAGGGCACUGGAUUUGUCAUCAGAGUAAGAUGUACUCUGGAAAGAGGAAAAAGAAAGUCCAGUGCUAAGGUCCAAAGACAGACCAAGUAGCAGCAAAACUGAGUUGAUUCCAAGUCAUAUCUUUCCUGGCAAAAGCCUUGACAUCUCUUUUUUCUGGGUCAGAAUUGAGCAAAAAGCCCAAGAUGAAAUUGAUUGAAUCUAUAUGUAAGAAUCAAAGACCCCUAGCUGUGGUUUAAUAAGUCUUUAGAAGAUGGGAACUAAGCAGCACCUAUAAUAAUUUCUAUUCAUUUUUAGCAAAUAUUUAUUGGGUGUCUACUAUGUGCCAGGCACUCCAACAAGCGAAGGACUACAGCAGUGAGAAAGACAGGUCUCUGCUCUCCUGGUACUUAUAUUCCAGAGGGAGCAUAAUUAAAUAAAUUAAGAUGAGGCAAAAAUGUAAAAAAAGGUUUUAAAAAAUUUUGCAAAGGCACAGAGGCAGGAAAUGUCAUGGGUUGUUUGAAAGAGAAAUAAUUAGUCUGGUUGCAGCAAAAUGUUUAUGGAAGGAAUCUAGGGAAUUCAUCCAUGCACUGAAUUCAGAAUCACCAAAAUGGUGCAUGUUGGAGCUCAACAAGCCCACAGACCACCUGCCGAGUCCCUCCUGUCUGCAGAGGAGAAUUGGAGUCUCAGAAAAUGGGGGUAAGUGGCAGUAUGAAACACAGAUCUUAGUGAAGACAGGCCCUAUUGCCAUUUAUUUGAUGAAAAUUCUGCAAAUCAUUAGUCCACUGGAUUUUUUAGUGGUUUAAAGAAAUGCAAUGGUCAUGGGAGCUGGAUCCAGGCCUGCCUCUUUUACCCUUAUCUGUGUCUUCGGGCAAACUCCUGAGAUUCACUGAAAGCCUGGAGGCUGAUGCUCCCAAAAGCCCCUUCCAAUUCAGAAAUCCUUUAAUGCUUUAAAUGAUUCUAGCCCAGUGUAUAAGUCCAUUUUCACACUGCUAUAAACAACUUGCCAAGACUGGGUAAUUUAUAAAGGAAAGAGGUUUAAUUGGCUCACAGUUCAGCAUGGCUGGGGAGGCCUCAGGAAACUUAGAAUCAUGGCAGAAGAUGAAGAGAAAGCUUCAAGAUGAGAUUUUGGUAGGGACACAAAGCCUAAUCACAUCACCCAGUUAUCAGUGAUGACUCUUUAGAGGUAUCAGCACAAGCUGGGGAACAAGGCAACACGCAACCCAGCAGCAGGAUUCAGGUUCUGGUCCUGAUUGUGGACCCUGCUGUGGUCUUGAACAACUUACGUAAUCCCUUAAUGUCCUCAUCUAUGAAGCGCGGGGUUGCACCAGGCCAUUACCAAGCCACCUCUCAGUUUGAGUCUUCUUUGAGUCUAGAGUCUUACCUCACUUUGAUGGUGAAAAAAGACAAACACAUGACUUUUUUAGAAAAGAUACCAGCUCUCAGUGAAAACAUCUUAAAACAAACAGCAUUAAUUUCUUGCUCCUUUACAUCUCAUCUCCUACACUCUACUUUGUAAUUUUAUGGAGUCACUGGUAUAAAAUUUCAGUUACAAUGCUUGCCUUCAAUGCUCAUGCAGCAUUUAAAUAAAUGCAUUUUUAAGUAAAAUGAAAGAAGAAUACAGGGUCUAGGAAGAAGACAAAAAGUCAAUAAAUUAUUAAAUCUAUUUCUCACAAAUUAAAUGCAUUGCAUUGUGUAAACAGGAUUCUAAUACAACCAAGCCCCCUCAGGUAGUUCACCCACAUGGCUCUAUAAAUGCCAUUAGCACUCUCCGUGAGCUUUAUAGUGCAUAUGAAUGUGCUUGUUCUAACAAUACCAUCAACUGUUUCUGAACCAAAAGCUGUCAAGAUUUCCAUUUCCUUUAUUCUAAGUGGGAAAAAAACCCCAGCUCUAAGUGAGACUUAUAAUCAGAGAGAAAAGUGACAGAAUAUUGGCUAAUUUGCUUCCCUAAGAGGCCUUAGGCCUCUUAGAAGUUCUUGCCUAGGGUCUGACUGUUUUAUUAUCCCAGUUUUUCUUUUCUCAGCUAAAAUCAUGGUGACAAUUCAAUUUAAAUCUUGCUGCUAUAAAAAUAUUUUUUGUUUGCUUCAGGAAAAAGGACCCAAGUGUACAAACAAAAGUCAGAAAAUAUAAUAUGCACAAUUCCAUAUUCAUUCAUGGCUGGCAUCUUUUAGCAUUGCAUUUAAAUUACUGCAAUGUGACUUCUAGAGUGCAUAAAUAAUAGUAGCUAGUGUAUAUUGAGCACUGACUCUGUGCCAGGCACUGUGCUAAAUGAUUUAUAUCUAGUAUCUCAUCCAAUCUUCCCAGCAAAUAAAUCUUGGAAGCAGUCAAAUGCGUUGACCUCUCAAAGCCAGCUCUGCCUCCUAGUUUUAUUUCAGUACCGUGGUCCCAUCACUCCACUUGCUAUGUAGGCCUGAGAACUUGGUUAUUCUUAUCAAAAGAAAUUCAGAGACUCACCCUCUUGUGCAAUGUCUCUCACACAUGUGUUUUCACUUCCUUUUGCUUGUUCACCUCAUCCCUUCCUUCCCCACUGACCUCCUCUUUUAUUUAUCAGAAUGCUGCUGGUGCAGAAAUGCCUAGCCUAAAUCUCCCUCCUCACUGCCCACUUUCUCUUUACUCUCUGUCCCUGCCCCUCCCACAUCCACACACCUACACACCUGUUUUCUAACUGAUCUUGUCCUGGGUAAUCUUGUCCAGCAAUAAAACCCACUCCCUCCCACAGCAAGCACUGACUUGGUUAUGCAGUUGGCAUUUUUACUAAUGCUUACUGCCAGCUAUCUCCUCUGAUCUUUAAGUCUUGUCUUUCCAAGUAAAGUGAAAUUCCUUGAGGGUAGGACCAUCUCUUCUGCAGUUACUAGCUCAGGGGCCCAGAAAAGAAAAUCAGGAAUAGCUAAAUAAGUCAUGUAUGUGGGAUAUAAUGAACUAAGCAGUAUUAAACAUAUUAACCAUAUAUAGUGUUUAUUAGGGGGUCAGAUACAGUAACAACAACUGUUAAAUGUAGUCAUUGAUACAUAUCUCUGUUUCACUAAUGAGAAAACAAAGUCACAGAAAGCUAGGUAACUUUAGCAAGGGCACAAAACUGGCAGAUAAUGAGGUGAAACAGGCUAUCUGAUUUCAACAUCUAGUUUUCUUGAAAAAACAAAAAAAAAGAAUUGGGGCUCCCUCCCUCAAACACAUGUUCUCCUCAAAUUUUCUAUUUUCUGUAGAAAAUAGAAAUAUAUUCUAUAUUCCCUUUCAUUACAGUUUCAAUAUCUGAAAAAAAUAAGAAAACAGUUGGCCAGAUAACCCCAAACACACUAAGUGCCUGCCACAUCCCUGUCAGCAAAAUUUUAGCUUUUCAUGAGUGAAAGGAGAGCUGGAAUUAAAAUUCAUCCUCAUGACUUAGGCAUGUCUCCAUUUGACUCAUUUGCUUUUAUUUGGUUUGAACUUAAGAGAAUGUUCAAUGACCAGACAGAAGGGAAUGCCUGAUCCUUAGAGGAAGCAAAUCAGUCUUACAUGGUACUACUUCAAGCGUGUCAGGAAGCUAACAUUGAUAUCAGACUUAAACUUGGUUGGCCGGUGUCUGAAAUCCUACCACUAUAACUUCAUCCUUUAGAGUAAGGGUUUGAUGUUUGUUAAAAGCAAAAUUCCCACAGAAAGAGAAGCACCUCAACUGUUGCAGCUGUCACUUCAAUAAAGAGCUGAGAUCAUAUUUCAAUGAGUGGGAGUAGGAAGGAGUGCAUUCCGUGACUUCUGUGUCUAGACAGGCAGCCUGGUCUGGUAAAAAGAAAGUAUUAGCUAUGUAUCCGAAUGGCUGAAUUCAAUUUCUGACUUUGUUACUAGAUUUGAAAAGUUUUGGACAGCCAAUUAGGCCCUCACAACCUCCAUGUCAGGUGUCAGAGGAGGAUGCUAAAGUGAUUUAUAGGGCAUCUUCCAGAGGUGUUUGCCUACACUCCCCAAGUAAAAUAUGUGCCCCCUAAGGCAGAGACCACGUAUGUUUGGAGUCAACUCUAAGUCCCAACACCCAGAACAUGUAGUUACUGACUGAAUGUGCCUCAAAGAGUACAUGAAUAAUUAUUCUUAACUUAUAGCUGGGAUAAUGGUCUCUCCUAGAACUUUAGACGUUUAUACUAACUGCUUCCGAGAAAAUUUCACCCAGAUACGUCAUUGUCAUUUAAAACUCAAAAUGUCUAAGACUUGAAUCACCACCUUGCUCCCAGUACCAGUUCCUUCUCCUUAACAGUAUCCUUGGUUUAAAAUGAUCAACAUUCCUGAUAUAUUGAAAUUAUAUGGCUUGAAAUGUUCAACAUCUCCUUUGCUUCUGCCUCCGAGCAGUCCUAAAUCCUGCUAAUUCCUUGUUUAGAAUUCCUCAGAUCACCCUCUCCUUUCUGUCUCCUCUGCCAACCCUCAAUCAUGCUUAUUACCUGUCACUGGCAUGUCUGAAACCUCCUGGCUCUCCUUCUAAACAAGUUAGCCGCAUUUAACUUUCUGAUACAAUAUUUUAAGAACAUCAUUUUGUAAAUAUAUACAACUAUAAUUUGUCAAUUUGUAAUUUUAAAAAUUAAAAUUAAAAGAAAGCAUCAUUUGCUUCCUCAGAAGCCUUCAACAGCUAACCACUAUCUAUGUGAAUCUGUGUUUGACUUCUGUAGCCUCAGGUACAAACAUUGCAUCAACAUAAGGUCCAGUCAGCAGAUGACAGAAACACCAGUAAUCUGAGCUGGUAAAAUUUAAUAUAAAGAAUUGUUAACUAGGUAAAGAUAGUUAAGCACUAAAAGGUAUAAAAGAGAACGAUUUAUAAUCCUUUGGAUAUAUAUCCAGUAAUGGGAUUGCUGGGUCAAAUGGAAUUUCUAUUUCUAGGUCAUUGAGGAAUUGCCACACUGUCUUCCACAAUGGUUGAACUAGUUUACACUCCCACCAACAGCGUAAAAGUGUUCCUAUUUCUCCACAUCCUCUCCAGCAUCUGUUGUCUCCAGAUUUUUUAAUGAUCACCAUUCUAAUUGGUGUGAGAUGGUAUCUCAAUGUGGUUUUGAUUUGCAUUUCUCUAAUGACCAGGUCUACUAUAAGGACACAUGCACACGAAUGUUCGUUGCAGCACUGUUUACAAUAGCAAAGACCUGGAAUCAACCCAAAUGCCCAUCGAUGAUAGACUGGACAGGGAAAAUGUGGCACAUAUACAACAUGGAAUAUUAUGCAGCAAUCAAAAACGAUGAGUUCAUGUCCUUUGUAGGGACAUGGAUGAACCUGGAGAACAUCAUUCUCAGCAAACUGACACAAGAACAGAAAAUGAAAUACCACAUGUUCUCACUCAUAGGCGGGUGUUGAACAAUGAGAACACAUGGACACAGGGAGGGGAGCACUACACACUGGGUUCUGUUGGGGGGAAUAGGGGAGGGACAGCAGCAGGGGGGGAGUUGGGGAGAGACAGCAUGGGGAGAAAUGCCAGAUAUAGGUGAAGGGGAGGAAGGCAGCGAAUCACACUGCCAUGUGUGUACCUAUGCAACUAUCUUGCAUGUUCUUCACACAUACCCCAAAACCUAAAAUGGAAUUAAAAAAAAAAAAGGUAUAAAAGAGAAUACUAAGGUACUCAAAGUUAGCAACUCCAGAAAGCAGUUACUAUCCCUAAGGCCAAGGGAAAGUGAGUAAGGAAGGAAUGUGGAAAUUUAGAGGAAAGAGCUCUGCAAGACUUAGAAAUAUUCAACUUCUGUGAUAAGGCAUGGAUGCACAGAGAUGCACAUCUGACUGCUGUGAGAAUGAAGAAACUUGAUGGAGAGACCACCUGGGAAUCACCCAGCACUGAACUGUGGGAGCCUGUGCUUUGGUGAACAUUACAAGGAUCUCCUCGACAUUUCCUCACUAAUCUGCUUGCUACUGCCCAGAAAUAAUGCAUGCUGGGCUUAAUACCUAGGUGACAGGUUGAUAGGUACAGCAAACCACCAUGGCACAAGCUUACCUAUGUAACAAACCUGCACAACCUGCACAUGUACCCCAGAACUUAAAAUUAAUUAAAAUUCUGCAACUUCAAAUUUUGUACCUAAUGGAAAUCAUAAUUAUUGAUUUAAAAUGAAAAUGUGGGUAAGCUCCAUUUGUACUCUUGUCUCUGUUGUGGUGGGCCUGUGAGGGCACAGAGGGAGUGUUGAGGAGGAAGAAGAUAACCAACAGGACAACAUUUUGGUGGUGGUGAGCAAUUUGUUUUCUGAGCUCUUCUUUUGUAUUAUUUCUAAAUAAAAUAUAACAGUAUUCAAGGUAAAGGGGGAAAAAAGCAUACUCCGUGAAACAAGAAAAGUCCUUUUUUCCUGCCAUUAACACCUUGCAAUCUCUUUUUUAGCAUCUUACCGACAGAGUUUAGCAUCAAAUCAGAGAGCAAAGGAGAAGUGUCUGCAGUGUCCAGCUCCCCUAUUACAAAGCAAGGCAAAGAGUGGGUUUGGAGCUGAGAUGUACUGUUCUUUCCUUUGCUUUUUUUAAAAAAAAGAGUAUCAAAGUUCCCUGCACCAGUUGGAAGUGACAUUUCUUUCUUUUGAACUGCUAUUUUACCUAUUUUGGAGACCAAUCAUGUAACACUAAUAGUGUGUUACUAGAUAUUCUAAAUAUUCUCACAUAAUAUGUUUCCCUCAUACUAGAUGACAAAUUCCUAAAGGACAAUUUUCUUUGAAAAUUUUUGUGUUAAAUACAGGAAUUGCAUUUAAAAUGUAUAGCUUAACUACUUAUAAAUAAAGUGAAUAUUCUUGUAACCACCAUCAUGUUAAGACAAAGACAUAGAAUGUGGUCAGCAUCCCAGGAGUCUUCCAUGUGUCCUUCCCAAUGACAGCCCCCACCUCUGCUCCCAAGAGUAACCAUUGGCUUUGACAAUAAUCACUUCUUAACUUUUCUUUAUUACCCAAGUACAAUUCCCUAAAUCUUAUAGCUCAUCUAUAUUUUUUAAUGUCUUUUAAAUCACUCAAUUUAUGCUUUCAUCUCUGUCCUUUUCCCACUAUAUUUUAUUUGUGUAAGAAACUGGAUCAUUUAUCCUAUAGAAUUUCCAACAGUUUAUUGCAUUCCCAUGGUGUAGUUUAAUAUGUUCCUCUGUCCUCUGUAUUUUUUUGUAAAUUGUGUUUUCUGUAAAUCAAAAGGCACAAUCAGAUCCAGAUUCAACAUUUUUAAUAAAACUUGUUUAAAUAAUUUUUUGUGUUUUAGGGAGUACAUGAUAUUUAAUUUUUUUUGUGAUGUCAGCAACCAUCGAUGUUCAUUGUCCAAGGCCUUUAACUCACUAGGGGUUGCAUACUGGGGAUAUUCCAACUCUAUGAUUCCUUGUCCAUUUAUUUACUGGGAUCCUUCUAUAGAGAAAGGCUUCCCCUUAUCUACUAUUUGGUUAUCCAGUGUUACAUUUCAUAUAGAAAAAACAAAAUGAAUGCUAGAUUUCAAAAUAAAGAGUUGGUUAAAAAUAAAACCAGUUAUAUGGAGUUUUAUAAUUCAUUAUAAUCUUGUGAAUUUUGUUAUUGGGCUUAUUGAUGUUCAAAUUGCCUUAUUUUUAAGUUGGUUCCAACUUUUGACAAAACCUACUAGUCUUUGGUGGCUUCCUUGAUAUCUGCUAUACUUUAAGCUUAUUGUACAUUUUCUGUCCAGCACUGAAACUAGCCAUUUCUCCAAAAUUCCUUGGUUUCUUUUAAUGGUAAAUAGUAAAUCAAGACCAAAAACCAGGGGCUAGGUAUAUAGUAGCCUCAGUAUAGUUUCCACGCCUUUACCUUGGACAGGGCUAUAUAUAACAGAUUGAGCUAGGAGAUGUAUACAUACACACUCAUACACACAUAUAUAGAGCUAGGAGAUUGAAGUAGGAUAUAUACAUACACACACACACACACACACAUAUAGAGUUAUCAUACUAUAUAUAUAUAUACUUACCUAUAGAGAGAGUUAUAAUUUCUAGGUCAUUUCAAUGGGCAGAACUAAGAGGUAAUUAUCAUAAUUAUAUGGACCACGCUAGAAGAGAAAAAGAACAAACACAUAUUCUACAGAAUAGAACAAAUUAGGACAGAAUGAAUAUCUUAGCUUGUUCCAUUAUAUCUAUAUACUUAUAUAUUUAUAAUGAUUAUAUGUAUAUCACUGUAUCAAGAAUUAUUUCUAAGUAAUGUAAAAAAACUGUUUUUCCUACUUACACACUCAACAUUUCUGGUCACCAAAAUUGGUGGGGACUCUUCCUCACACAACAACUGAUUCUCCAGUGGACACCAACUGAGUAUCCCAUAAUGCAAUUCAAUUCUGACACAGUCUACCUGGAGUUAGAGUCAGAUUCCCAGGUUAAGGGUUUAGUCCCAAAGACUGCCCCCAUGGCAGAUGCUAGUUCCAUGUGGGCCUCUGGAACUGCUGACUGACUGGCUAUAAAUUGGAAGUAACCACUACCACUUCCUUGAGCAUUUGCUAGAGAGGCUCAUGUAACUCAGGAAAGCACUUUUUGUUGAUUGGUGUAUUAUAAAAGAUAUAAAAAUAAUACAGAUGAACAGCUAGAUGGUAGAGAUGCAGAGGUCAAGGUAUGCAGGAAGAGGCAGGAAACAUCUACGGCCUCAUGAGGCAUGGCACCUUCCACAUCAGCAACCUAGAAGCUCCCCAAACUUCAUGCUUCAGGAAGGUUUAUGAAGGCUUCAUCAGAUAGGCAUGAUUAAUUACUAAUUCAAUUGUCAGCCUCUCUCCCCUUCAGGGAGGAUGAAGAGUGAGGCUGAAAGUUCCAGACUUUUAAUCAUGGCUUAGUCUUUCUGUGACCAGCCCCAUUCAGUGGGCCACCAAGAGUCACCUUAUUAGAACUCCUGUCACCCAGGACAUUUCGAGGGAUUCAGGAGCUCUGUGUCAGGUGCUGCUAUCACUCAGGAAAUUACAAAGGUCUUGGGAGCUCUGUGUUAGGAACUGGGUCAAAGACCAAAUAUUAGAACAAAAGAUUCUCCUAGCACCCAGGAAAGUCCAAAAGGUUAGAAAUUCUAUGUCAGAAACCAGGUCAAAACCAAAAUAUUAGAACAAAGAUGAACCUAGCUCCCCGAUUGCUCAGGAAAUUACAAUGGUUUACGGAGCUCUGUGUCAAGAACUGGAAAUAGAGUUCAAAUAUAUAUAUUUUCAUUAUGGUACAAUGUCCUGUUCAUUUAAUAAUAAUGUCUAUAUCAUUAUAACUAUUAUUCUUUCCUAUAGAAUGUACCUUUCUAUCAGAACUUAGUCCAUUAUAUCUAUUGAUAAUUCCAUAUAUUAUAUGCAUAA